ACGGGGCGACAGGCCGGAAAACUUUACAAUGCGGGCAACCGUGAUAAGGAAACCCCGAGUGCCACCACAGGGUGGCUGUCCACCAGUGUAAACAACUGGUGAAGAAAGGGCCGGGCAAGACCGGUGCCAGCCGCCGCGGUAAUACCGGCGGCUCGAGUGGUGGCCGCUUUUACUGGGCUUAAAGGGUCCGUAGCUGGAUCUGUGUGUCCCUUGAGAAAUCCAUCGGCUUAACUGAUGGGCGUUCAGGGGAAACUGCAGUUCUAGGGACCGGGAGAGGUGAGAGGUACUGCCGGGGUAGGAGUGAAAUCCUGUAAUCCCGGUGGGACGACCUAUGGCGAAGGCAUCUCACCAGAACGGCUCCGACAGUGAGGGACGAAAGCUGGGGGAGCAAACCGGAUUAGAUACCCGGGUAGUCCCAGCUGUAAACGAUGCGCAUUAGGUGUGUCAGUGACCACGUGUCACUGAGGUGCCGAAGGGAAACCGUGAAAUGCGCCGCCUGGGGAGUACGGUCGCAAGGCUGAAACUUAAAGGAAUUGGCGGGGGAGCACCACAACGGGUGGAGCUGCGGUUUAAUCGGACUCAACGCCGGAAAUCUCACCGGAUAAGACAGCUGAAUGAUAGUCGGGAUGAAGACUCUACUUGACUAGCUGAGAGGAGGUGCAUGGCCGUCGUCAGUUCGUACUGUGAAGCAUCCUGUUUAGUCAGGCAACGAGCGAGACCCACGCCAACAAUUGCCAGCUUGAUCUUCGGGUCGAUGGGGACAUCGUUGGGACCGCCUCUGCUAAAGGGGAGGAAGGAAUGGGCAACGGUAGGUCAGCAUGCCCCGAAUUAUCCGGGCUACACGCGGGCUACAAUGGUUGGGACAAUGGGUUCCGACACCGAAAGGUGAAGGCAAUCUCCUAAACCCAGUCUAAGUUCGGAUUGCGGGUUGUAACUCACCCGCAUGAAGCUGGAAUCCGCAGUAAUCGCGUUUCACCAUAGCGCGGUGAAUAUGUCCCUGCUCCUUGUACACACCGCCCGUCA
rnacentral:rRNA from 1 species